GACAGCAAAACCUUAAUGAUAGUCCAAGUUGCCCCAGUGGAGAAGAACGUGAACGAGACACUUUCCAGUCUGAGUUUUGCGCAAAGAGUGCGCACAGUGGAAUUGGGCAUGGCCAGUAAGAAGACAGAGUCCUCCGAGGUGGCUGACCUUAAGGAGAGGCUCGCACAGUAUGAGGGUGGGCGCUCUACGCCAACGAAAGGCACUUCUUCCCGGCCAACGUCAGCGGUAAAAAGAAAGUGAGGACAAUUUUCUGGCAGUGGUUCAGUGUACUUAAGACUGCCAUGAGUCUCUGCAACAUAAAUAUGAUCAUAUAAUGAUAAGUUAGUUAAAUGAAUUUCUGUACACCCAACACUGAUAUUUCAUAGUACUAGCACUCUGCCAUGCCACAUUGGCUGAUUUAUGUCAUCUGUAUUCCAAUAAAGUAUGACUGUUUAUAAACAAAUAUAUUUUUCAAAUAUGUGCAAAAUGUACAUUGUCCUGUUUGAUUGCACUAAUUUAUUCCUAAUCUUCAACUGUUAUUGUUAUGAAAACUGUAUUAUAAAUGGCAUAAAGCCAUAGACCAAUAUAGGACAAUGUUCGAAUUAUUCAUAUAAGAUAAUUUACCAGAAUUUAUAAUUGUAUGAUUUUUUUAUUGAAUUAUUUACAAUCUCCUGGGGCUUUAUCUCCUGUUAUAAAAACCAAGAACCAAGUUAAGUAAUUCCAAUGUCAAGUUUUAAGGUUGUGAGAAAGAUUUGUCUGAAAGGUUGAUAUACAGACCUACCAUAAAAUAUACUGUCCUUUUUGAAAUUCUUUGUGUAUAUAUCAAACUUUUGUUCUUUGUCGUCCUUAGCAAGUAACUGAUGAGUCAGUACUAGGAGCAGUGUAAAGUUGUACAGUUUCAGUUCUUAACUCUCCUGGUCCAAAAGUUAGUGCGUGCAAGCUUCAUCUUUUCCAAACACUUCCCUGUGUCUAAAUGUUGGUACACGUGAUAUUGAAACUGGCAAGGUAAUAUUAAUUUUGUAAUUUUCUUCAUUUACUGGCCACAGUUUCUGCUUUGAGUCAGUAGAUUCUUAUAGUCCCUGGUGGUCUGAAGGGCUAGUUGGCUGAAUAAAAGAGUAUUUAAAAGUAGAAUAAGGUAACAAUCAAGUGGGUCUAUUCUUAAUAUAUACAUCUUGUAGAAGUAUGAAGGUUGUGUAAGAAGCCAAAUUAUUUCCAGUCCGAGUUCCAGAAAUUGAUGGAAACGGCAGAGACAUGAGGAGUUAGUUUUCAGCAAUCUGGAAAUCUCCUUGUGAAUCAGUAAAUGGGGGUUACCAGCUUCAUUGUAUCAAGGUUUAAGUAACUAAGCAAAUUUAUAUUUAAUUUAUUUUAAUUACUUAUGUCUUUCUUGAAUAGACCACAAAUGAAGUGCAGGUUUCCAAAGGUUAAAAUAGGUAAUAUGAUAUUUUGAAAUUAUUUAGUAAUUAUGUAAAUUGUAUCCAUGCACAAUUUUCAUUCAUGUAGAAUUUAAGUACAAAAAUUGUUGAAUUCCUAAUACUGUAUUAUCAUGCAGUGGAUAUUUUAUGCAGAUCACUCAAUUUUAGUGUUUAACAAUCAAUGUCAACAAAACUAUGCAAUUCAUGGGAGCAUGUCUCAUUCUGCUUUAUAAGAUAUAUAUUAUUAUUUCUACAAAAAUACGUUAUUAAUAUAUAUGUGUAUUAGGUUGAAGAGCCAAAGAACCUGAAAAGAAUUUGAGCCCAAUAAGUUUUACACAGUUUAAUUCCCAUGUGAAGUUUCUUUAUAUUUGACUUUUGUCAUUAUGCUAAUUAUUGAUAUUAAAAUAUAUUUCAGAAAAUA